GGGGAAGUUUGGGAGGAAGGCUUCUGAGAAGACUGGUGGGAGAGAAGGAGAGCCUGCAGACAGAGGCCUCCAGCUUGGAGGAAAAGCUUUCGGACUGCUGAAGGCCCAGCAGGAAGAGAGGCUGGAUGAGAUCAACAAGCAAUUCCUAGACGAUCCCAAAUAUAGCAGUGAUGAGGAUCUGCCCUCCAAACUGGAAGGCUUCAAAGGUGAGGGGGAAACUGUAGGCGGUGGAGACAGGGCUGGGGGUAGGAGGGUUAGGAUUUCCACAAGAACAAGGCAGGAACAGCAGAGAUAAAAAGUUUACUUUUGUGGUAGCAAAAGGGGAACCUGCCUUUAUUGCCCUCCUGCCACACUGCGGUCCCUUUCCCGGGCCUGCCUCUCUCAGCAUCCCCUCUAGCUCCUUACACCCUAGCGGGGCCCCUCAACUCCCCAACCCCACUUCCUCUGCCUGCCCCUCCUCCUCCUUCCACGUUGUCUCCUCCACCUAGCAGUUGGUUGGCAACCCCUUCCUCAGUCCCCUGCUGAAAACCCUCCAGUCAGCGCUUAUCCCUUCUGCUCUCUCCCCUCACCCAGAGAAAUACAUGGAGUUUGACCUUAAUGGAAAUGGCGAUAUUGGUGAGAAACGGGUGAUUUGCGGGGGCAGGGUGGUGUGCAGGCCUAAGAAGACAGAGGUCUCUCCUACAUGCUCCAUUCCUCAUGAUUUGGGAGGGGGCCCACCUACCACAGUGGGAGGAAGGAGAAUGGGGAUGCGGAAGUGGGAGAGGAGAGAGAGGGUCUCCCCACCUUCUCCCCAUCCCCAUCCUCUGCCCC
rnacentral:misc_RNA from 1 species